rnacentral:rRNA from 1 species
AUCGAACGCUGGCGGCAGGCCUAACACAUGCAAGUCGAACGGAGUGGCGGAAGGGUGAGUAAUGUCAGGGACACUGCCUGGACGUGGGGGAAAACGGCCGGAACCGGGCGCUAAUACCGCAUAAUAUCAGAUGAUCCUAGGUCGGAUUAGCUAGUUGGUGGGGUAAAGGCCUACAAAGUCGACGAUCCGUAACUGGUCUGAGAGGAUGAUCAGUCACACUGGAACUGAGACACGGUCCAGACUCCGACGGGAGGCAGCAGUGGGGAAUAUUCGACAAUGGGCGAAAGCCUGAUCCAGCCAUGCCGCGUGUGUGAAGAAGGUCUUCGGAUUGUAAAGCACUGUAAGUUGGGAAGCGGUACCAAAAGAAUAAGCACCGGCUAACUUCGUGCCAGCAGCCGCGGUAAUAC